UACAGAGGGUGCGAGCGUUGUUCGGAAUUAUUGGGCGUAAAGGGCGCGUAGGCGGUGCGGUAAGUCACCUGUGAAAUCUCCUGGCUCAACUGGGAGCUUGCAGGCGAAACUGCCGUGCUGGAGUGUGGGAGAGGUGCGUGGAAUUCCUGGUGUAGCGGUGAAAUGCGUAGAUAUCAGGAGGAACACCUGUGGCGAAAGCGGCGCACUGGACCACAAAUGACGCUGAGGCGCGAAAGCUAGGGGAGCAAACAGG
rnacentral:rRNA from 1 species